GUGAGGAAUAUUGCGCAAUGGAGGCAACUCUGACGCAGCCAUGCCGCGUGCAGGAAGAAGGCGCUACGCGUUGUAAACUGCUUUUAACCGGGAAGAAACCCCAGGACGUGUCCUGGGUUGACGGUACCGGAGGAAUAAGCACCGGCUAACUUCGUGCCAGCAGCCGCGGUAAUACGAAGGGUGCAAGCGUUAUCCGGAUUCAUUGGGUUUAAAGGGUGCGUAGGCGGAGCGUUAAGUCAGUGGUGAAAUCCUGCAGCUUAACUGUAGACUUGCCAUUGAUACUGGCGCGCUUGAGUGCGCUUGAAGUGGGCGGAAUGUGCCGUGUAGCGGUGAAAUGCUUAGAUAUGGCACAGAACACCAAUUGCGAAGGCAGCUCACUAAGGCGAUACUGACGCUGAGGCACGAAAGCGUGGGGAUCGAACAGGAUUAGAUACCCGUGUAGUCC
rnacentral:rRNA from 1 species